rnacentral:rRNA from 1 species
UACAGAGGUCCCAAGCGUUGUUCGGAUUCAUUGGGCGUAAAGGGUGCGUAGGCGGCGCGGUAAGUCGGGUGUGAAAUCUCGGAGCUUAACUCCGAAACUGCAUUCGAUACUGCCGUGCUGGAGGACUGGAGAGGAGACUGGAAUUUACGGUGUAGCGGUGAAAUGCGCAGAUAUCAGGAGGAACACCGGUGGCGAAGGCGGGUCUCUGGGCCGAUACUGACGCUGAGGAGCGAAAGCGUGGGGAGCGAACAGG